GAUGAACGCUGGCGGAGUGACUAAUACAUGCAAGUCGAGCGAAGAGGGGACGGGUGAGUAACACGUGGAGAACACCCGAUAAGACUGGGAGAACUGUGGGAAACCGGAGCUAAACCGGAAACUUAAAGAUGGAUCCGCGCUGCAUUAGCUAGUUUGUAAGGUAAAGGCUUACAAAGGCAACGAUGCAUCGCCGACCUGAGAGGGUUAUCGGCCACACUGGCACUGAGACACGGUCCAGACUCCUACGGGAGGCAGCAGUAGGUAAUCUUCCGCAAUGGGCGACAGCCUGACGGAUCAACGCCGCGUUAGUGAUGAAGGUCUUCGGAUCGUAACACUCUGUUAUUAGGGAAGCGGUACCUAAUCAGAUAGCCACGGCUAACUACGUGCCAGCCGCCGCGGUAAGAC
rnacentral:rRNA from 1 species